AUACGUAGGGGGCAAGCGUUAUCCGGAUUUACUGGGUGUAAAGGGAGCGUAGACGGCAAAGCAAGUCUGAAGUGAAAGCCCCGGGCUCAACCCGGGAAUUGCUUUGGAAACUGUUUAGCUAGAGUGCAGGAGAGGUAAGCGGAAUUCCUAGUGUAGCGGUGAAAUGCGUAGAUAUUAGGAGGAACACCGGCGGCGAAGGCGGCUUACUGGACUGUAACUGACGUUGAGGCUCGAAAGCGUGGGGAGCAAACAGGAGUAGAUACCCUGGUAGUCCACGCCGUAAACGAUGAUUACUAGGUGUUGGUUGUCAUAGACAAUCGGUGCCGCAGCAAACGCAAUAAGUAAUCCACCUGGGGAGUACGUUCGCAAGAAUGAAACUCAAAUGAAUUGACGGGG
rnacentral:rRNA from 1 species